AGUGAACGCUGGCGGUAGGCCUAACACAUGCAAGUCGAACGGCAGCACAGUAAGAGCUUGCUCUUACGGGUGGCGAGUGGCGGACGGGUGAGGAAUACAUCGGAAUCUACUUUUUCGUGGGGAAUAACGUAGGGAAACUUACGCUAAUACCGCAUACGUCUUACGGGUGAAAGCAGGGGAUCUUCGGACCUUGCUCGAUUGAUUGAGCCGAUGUCGGUUUAGCUAGUUGGCGGGGUAAAGGCCCACCAAGGCUACGAUCCGUAGCUGGACUGAGAGGAUGAUCAGCCACACAGGAACUGAGACACGGUCAAGACUCCUACGGGAGGCAGCAGUGGGGAAUAUUGGACAAGGGGCGCAAGCCUGAUGCAGCAAUACCGCGUGGGUGAGGAAGGCCUUCGGGUUGUAAAACCUUUUUGUUGGGAAAGAAAAGCAGCAGGUGAAUACGCGGAUGUACUGGCGGUACCCAAAGAAAAAGCACCGGCUAACUACGUG
rnacentral:rRNA from 1 species